AUUGAACGCUGGCGGCAUGCCUUACACAUGCAAGUCGAACGGCAGCACGGAGCUUGCUCUGGUGGCGAGUGGCGAACGGGUGAGUAAUAUAUCGGAACGUACCCUAGAGUGGGGGAUAACGUAGCGAAAGUUACGCUAAUACCGCAUACGAUCUAAGGAUGAAAGUGGGGGAUCGCAAGACCUCAUGCUCGUGGAGCGGCCGAUAUCUGAUUAGCUAGUUGGUAGGGUAAAAGCCUACCAAGGCAUCGAUCAGUAGCUGGUCUGAGAGGACGACCAGCCGCACUGGAACUGAGACACGGUCCAGACUCCUACGGGAGGCAGCAGUGGGGAAUUUUGGACAAUGGGCGAAAGCCUGAUCCAGCAAUGCCGCGUGAGUGAAGAAGGCCUUCGGGUUGUAAAGCUCUUUUGUCAGGGAAGAAACGGUGGGAGCUAAUAUCUCUUGCUAAUGACGGUACCUGAAGAAUAAGCACCGGCUAACUACGUGCCAGCAGCCGCGGUAAUACGUAGGGUGCAAGCGUUAAUCGGAAUUACUGGGCGUAAAGCGUGCGCAGGCGGUCUUGUAAGUCUGAUGUGAAAUCCCCGGGCUCAACCUGGGAAUUGCAUUGGAGACUGCAAGGCUAGAAUCUGGCAGAGGGGGGUAGAAUUCCACGUGUAGCAGUGAGAUGCGUAGAUAUGUGGAGGAACACCGAUGGCGAAGGCAGCCCCCUGGGUCAAGAUUGACGCUCAUGCACGAAAGCGUGGGGAGCAAACAGGAUUAGAUACCCUGGUAGUCCACGCCCUAAACGAUGUCUACUAGUUGUCGGGUCUUAAUUGACUUGGUAACGCAGCUAACGCGUGAAGUAGACCGCCUGGGGAGUACGGUCGCAAGAUUAAAACUCAAAGGAAUUGACGGGGACCCGCACAAGCGGUGGAUGAUGUGGAUUAAUUCGAUGCAACGCGAAAAACCUUACCUACCCUUGACAUGGCUGGAAUCCCUGAGAGAUCAGGGAGUGCUCGAAAGAGAACCAGUACACAGGUGCUGCAUGGCUGUCGUCAGCUCGUGUCGUGAGAUGUUGGGUUAAGUCCCGCAACGAGCGCAACCCUUGUCAUUAGUUGCUACGAAAGGGCACUCUAAUGAGACUGCCGGUGACAAACCGGAGGAAGGUGGGGAUGGCGUCAAGUCCUCAUGGCCCUUAUGGGUAGGGCUUCACACGUCAUACAAUGGUACAUACAGAGCGCCGCCAACCCGCGAGGGGGAGCUAAUCGCAGAAAGUGUAUCGUAGUCCGGAUUGUAGUCUGCAACUCGACUGCAUGAAGUUGGAAUCGCUAGUAAUCGCGGAUCAGCAUGUCGCGGUGAAUACGUUCCCGGGUCU
rnacentral:rRNA from 1 species